rnacentral:rRNA from 1 species
UACGGAGGGUGCGAGCGUUAAUCGGAAUUACUGGGCGUAAAGCGUGCGCAGGCGGGUCUUUAAGACAGAGGUGAAAUCCGCGGGCUCAACCUUGGAACUGCCUUUGUUACUGCAUGACUAGAGUACGGCAGAGGGGGAUGGAAUUUCGCGUGUAGCAGUGAAAUGCGUAGAUAUGGGGAAGAACGCCGAUGGCGAAGGCAAUGCCCUGGGCCUGUACUGACGCUUAGGCACGAAAGCGUGGGGAGCAAACAGG